rnacentral:rRNA from 1 species
GGACCCGCACAAGCGGUGGAGCAUGUGGUUUAAUUCGAUGCAACGCGAAGAACCUUACCUACUCUUGACAUCCUCAGAAGGAACCGGAAACGGAUCUGUGCCUUCGGGAACUGAGAGACAGGUGCUGCAUGGCUGUCGUCAGCUCGUGUCGUGAGAUGUUGGGUUAAGUCCCGUAACGAGCGCAACCCCUAUCCUUAGUUGCCAGCACGUAAUGGUGGGAACUCUAGGGAGACUGCCGGUGACAAACCGGAGGAAGGUGGGGGACGACGUCAAGUCAUCAUGGCCCUUAUGAGUAGGGCUACACACGUGCUACAAUGGGGAAUACAGACGGACGCUAAGCCGCGAGUGGUGCU